UGGUCUGCCUCAGGGGCUGAAGUUGUCUUUUUAUGCAUUGAGUGGGAACAGCACUGGGAGUGACAGAGCUGGUUUUCUUCAAACCACUCCCAUCCACUGGCUAGAGCCAAGAAAAGGGCCCACACCUCUCAGGAGAAGAGCACUAUGCAGUCUUGGAUACCCAUUUCACCUUUCGUUUCA
rnacentral:sRNA from 1 species